rnacentral:rRNA from 1 species
GGGGGGGGGGGGGGGGGGGCGUGGGGGGGGGGGGUCGGGGGGGGGGGCCCUGCUGGGGGGGGGUGCUCGGGUGGCGGACGGGUGCGUAACACGUGAGUCACCUGCCCUUGCCUUUGGGAUGACUUCAUGCACCUUUGUCUAAUCCCGGAUAGGAGCUCCUGCUGCCUGGUGUGGGUUGUCACGUUUCGGCGGUUGGGGAUGGACUCGCGGCUUAUCAGCUUGUUGGUGGGGUAGUGGCUUACCAAGGCUUUGACGGGUAGCCGGCCUGAGAGGGUGACCGGCCACAUUGGGACUGAGAUACGGCCCAGACUCCUACGGGAGGCAGAAGUGGGGAAUAGUGCACAAUGGGCGGAAGCCUGAUGCAGCAACGCCGCGUGCGGGAUGACGGCCUUCGGGUUGUAAACCGCUUUCGCCUGUGACGAAGCGUGAGUGACGGUAAUGGGUAAAGAAGAACCGGCUAACUACGUG